UAUGAAGAAAGAAGUGAGAAAGUCAAGAAAGAAGAAGCGAGGAAAUAACAAGAACCAGAAGAAGAACAAGGUGUCUCCUCUUGGCAAUGAUAGUACUGUGGCUGCAGAUGAGCCUAAGAAAAAACAGGCUCUCCUCCCGCGGAUCACAGCCGCCCUGGCAAAACUAUUUUGCUUCCCCUGCAAAAAAAAAAAAUGCAAAAGUAACUGUUCAGAAGACGAGUUUGGGAAAACCCUGCUGCCACCUCCCCCAA